rnacentral:rRNA from 1 species
UACGGAGGGAGCUAGCGUUGUUCGGAUUUACUGGGCGUAAAGGGCGCGUAGGCGGCCACCGCAAGUCGGUUGUGAAAUCUCUGGGCUUAACCCAGAAAGGUCAACCGAUACUGCGGGGCUAGAGUGCAGAAGGGGCAACUGGAAUUCUUGGUGUAGCGGUGAAAUGCGUAGAUAUCAGGAGGAACACCUGCGGCGAAGGCGGGUUGCUGGGCCGACACUGACGCUGAUGCGCGAAAGCUAGGGGAGCGAACGGG